AAUAUCGCUUCACCUUUCCUUUACCUCUUAUUAGAAGCGUGGAAUAAUACAAUAGCUAGAUUUCCGUAUCUCAAAUUGGAUCGCGGAGUUUUAGAGUAAGCAUAGAGCGUGGUGAUGAUAAACUUCUAUUCCGUAAAGAAAUUGGUGAGAAUGGAGAAAGGGGAAGCAGCGAUGAAGAGAUAGAGGUAUAGAUAUAAGAAUAACAGUGAAUGUGAAAGCACGUUACGUUAAGAAGGAUUAUAAAAUUCGCUCUCGACGAAAUAAGAAAGGUGAAAGACAUCGAACGACAUUUCACUCGUGACACUUGCCCCGAGAAACCGAGGAGGAUGCGUCUUGCCUCCCAUUUGCCUUUGCAAAAUAUCGCACAGGAACAACGAUGUAGAGUUUAAUAUUCAACAAAUUUCCUUUCUUUAUACGUAGGACAUUGAAAUAUAAAAAUUUUAUACGUUAAUUGUACGUGCGCGAAAUGAGUUUUGAGUUAGCUUAGUAAGAAAUUCAUACUCGGCCAAAACAUACGGGAAAUCGUCUCGAACUGUCGGGGUUCGGGCGAAAAAACGCCUCGAGUGCAAAGGCAAUAUAAAUAUCGUUUAUAUUAUACGGAGAUGUAUCGUAGAAGGAUAUCGAUCGAAAACUUGGCCGAGCGAGGAUUAACGCUAGAUUUUAUGCUUAAAAAUUCUAAAUAUGCAAAUAUUAUUCUUCAAACAUUAUAUAUUGGUUUUCAAUGAUGUAAUGCAGCAAAUAUAUAUUUCUAUCCGUUUUCUCUGGAACAUUUAUAUAUUUUGCUAUUUCUAGAUGUUGUAUACCUAUUUUUACGAAAAUCAAUUUGACGGGUUAAUUUAUAUAAAUCAAUUGCGAAAUAACAGAAAUCAAAUAACAAUGAACAAGAAAAAACAAGAAAAUGACGAUUGUUUAGCAAUAAAUACAUAAUCAAACUAGUUGUUUAUAAUUAUGAUAUGAUAGAAAAUAAUCCCUUCAACGGUGAAUUUUGAAAAAUUUAUUUUCGUAAGAGAAGAUUUGAAUUUUUCAAGAUAUUUUCAAAACUUGUUCAAAAAAAUAUAUUCUUUUACAUUUAUAUUAUUAUGGGUAAGCUUUCAAAAGACAUGGAACUGAUAAAUAAAUGAAGACCAAUCUGGAUCGGAUUCUGAUAUAAA